UACGUAGGGUGCAAGCGUUGUCCGGAAUCACUGGGCGUAAAGGGCGCGUAGGCGGCCUGAUAAGUAGGGGGUGAAAUCUUGCGGCUCAACCGCAAGGCUGCCUUCUAAACUGUCAGGCUGGAGCACGGUAGAGGCAGAUGGAAUUCCCGGUGUAGCGGUGGAAUGCGUAGAGAUCGGGAAGAACACCAGUGGCGAAGGCGGUCUGCUGGGCCGUUGCUGACGCUGAGGCGCGACAGCGUGGGGAGCAAACAGG
rnacentral:rRNA from 1 species